CAAAUUUGUGCUUCUCUUUACUGUCCUUCUAGGGUAAACUGCUCUCUUGGAUUUCCUGAUUGAAAGACCUAUAUACCUGGGAUUCAAUGCUAGAUUGCCAUCUGCCAUGUUCUGAUAAACCUGCAUUGCCACUGAGGGAAGUUUCAACCAAUAAUAUGUGGGCUAUAUUUUGCAUUUUUGUGGCUGUCAAGGAUUAAUUUUUUGGUGACUGAGUUAAAAAAAGGUCCAUACUUUGUACCUGCAAUCGUUAGUUAAACGCAGAAUUGAGCCAAUUGCGAUGAUUCAAGGGCAGAUUUCUAUCAUACAAAACUUCCAUGACAUUGUCUGUAGAUCACAAAGCAAGACAUUUUUCCAUACUUUAUUUCUUAGGAAUCUUCUCAUUUGGUUAUUGUAUUAUAUAUGUAUUAUAAUAGUUGGACAUAAAAUAAAAAUAAUUCUUACAAAUUUAAGCUUGAAAUUAGAAAGAUAAAGUAAAAACUCUUGUCUUCCUUUUAUUGCUAGAAGUCAUGAAAAUAGUUAAAUAUUGUUAAUUGAAUUAAUUUAUUACUAACUCAUAUACUAAAAACGUGUAAAAAAUACUACUCUUAUUAUUAAUGAUUUUAGUAAUCUUUUAUGUAAUUAACGCUGCACCACUGGUGUGGCUGUUAGCUUGAUGGUAAGGAUUUUGGAAUUUAUUAUUUUUUUCAUGUCAUUUAUUUGAUAAAAACUAAACAAAAUAAAAACCAAUUCCAUCUCUAGUAAUCUUUUCUUUUCUCGUCUUCGGAUUUGCUGGCGGUGUCGUCGUAUUCUUCUUCUUUCGAACAAUCGUUUCUUGUUUUUGGGUGAGUAGCUCGUUUGUCACCUUCUGUUCUGGAUGUAGUUCGUUGCGGCCAUGGACAGAGAAGCUGAGGUGGCAAAAACGGUGCAAUAGUGGGAGUGGAACUGUUGCAGAAACGGAGCUGGGAAUAGUGUUAUAUUUGCUCUUCAGUUUUCAAACAUAUUAAAGUUUCACUAUGAUCAAUGUUUCCCAAUUUGUGUGUGAGACAAGAGGGGAAAAAGAAGAAAAAAAAAUUGAAAAUCAA